rnacentral:rRNA from 1 species
GAUGAACGCUGGCGGCGUGCCUAAUACAUGCAAGUCGAGCGAACAGACGAGGAGCUUGCUCCUCUGACGUUAGCGGCGGACGGGUGAGUAACACGUGGAUAACCUACCUAUAAGACUGGGAUAACUUCGGGAAACCGGAGCUAAUACCGGAUAAUAUAUUGAACCGCAUGGUUCAAUAGUGAAAGACGGUUUUGCUGUCACUUAUAGAUGGAUCCGCGCCGCAUUAGCUAGUUGGUAAGGUAACGGCUUACCAAGGCAACGAUGCGUAGCCGACCUGAGAGGGUGAUCGGCCACACUGGAACUGAGACACGGUCCAGACUCCUACGGGAGGCAGCAGUAGGGAAUCUUCCGCAAUGGGCGAAAGCUUGACGGAGCAACGCCGCGUGAGUGAUGAAGGUCUUCGGAUCGUAAAACUCUGUUAUUAGGGAAGAACAAAUGUGUAAGUAACUAUGCACGUCUUGACAGUACCUAAUCAGAAAGCCACGGCUAACUACGUG